ensembl:lncRNA
UGAAGAUCUGCUUUGUGGGCUGGACCUCUUCAGACACCAGAAUGAAAGCAGAACCUGCAAUAUGACUCACAACACCUCUCUGAGGUUUGACUGAGUCAAAAGAGUUUGUGAUCCAACUGCAUGUUGGAGGCCAAAGGUCAGCUGCUGGCUGUGAGAGGUAGGUCCUUGGGUCAGUCUGAAUGUGACAAACACACUGUCAGUUGCUGAGGAGUCGAGUCCUUUUUAAUAAUGCUUUGGCACACGAGUCCCAGAUCAGUUACAGAUGCUAGCCCUCGAGCAGAGAGGGUUGGUGUUCUGUGCUGUGGCUCGAAUGCAGGCUGAGAUCACAAGAAGACCUGCGAGCUGCUGAUGUUUCAUGUGUAUGACGAUGUGAAGAGAAGGAAGCUGAAUGCAGAGGUCAUGUGACAGAGCGACAACAGGAAUGUGACAUCACUUAGAUGUGUUUCUAAUGUGGCAGCACAGUUUUCACUUUAUUGUUUCUGACUUCAGGUGGUGCUCUCCGCCUCUGCCGCCAGGCCAUGUUACACCACAGUUCAAGAGGGGGGCAAUGAACGUGUCACAGGUGCGACUCACCUGACUUGACUACACCUGAGUGUGUGGUCAAGUGAGUCUGAGGAGGAGGACCUGUGUCCGUCACAUGUCUGCUGGGACUCUGCAGACACACAAAUCUUGAUGCAGGUGUAAAAACCACUGAUGUUUGGAAAUGCUGAGCUGGAUUUGAUCCAAACCUUCUGCUGUAUUUAUUUUUGUUUCAUUCUCUAUUUUCUGUAACAGAAUGAAAUAAAUCAGGUUAAAUUGUUUUCAUUUGUCAGUGAUGACAGUCAUGCACCUGAGGGCAUCAUCAAACUGUUUUCAUCUGAACCAAAUAUUUGCAUAGAUGUAAGAUUAUCUACAGCUGUUUUCAGUACCACUGAUGUUAAUUUAGUGUCUUUCUCUCCAGCUGAUCUGAGUUAGCUUGAGUAACUACCACCAGCUGCUUUGGCCUGUUCUUUUCUGUAUCACAUGGUGGCGCAGUGAGUCACUGUAACUUUCAUUUAAUUAGAGUUUUUAUUUCCUGUAAACAAAUAUUAAAUGAUUUCUAACCAACUGCAUCAAUCUGUCUGUGAUUAGCCGUCCACACUGAGCUCUGACAGCUGUACAAAUAGCGUUGUUCCUGAAGUCACACCUUGGUAUUUUGGUAAAUCCAGAUUUAUUUAUCUCAGUCCUGCAAACGGGAAGCCGGAUUUUCAGGUCAUUAACUGAGGCAUGAAAAUGUGCGGCCUCUCCUACUUCCUGUCAAACAGCAAGUUUGUCUCCACAUAGGAUUCCAGGAGCUCGGGAAUCUGACGGCGUAUCUCUGCUUUGAAUCCUCGGCUUUGUGACGACAAUCACAAACCUUCAGAUUCUGUUUGCUGUCUUGACCCAAAAG